rnacentral:rRNA from 1 species
UUUUUCUGGAGGGGGAAAAGUGAAAAGCUACUUUGAAGAGAGAGUUCAAGAGUACGUGAAAACCGCUCAGGGGGUAAACCUGAGAAAACCCGAAAGGUCGAAAAGGGAAAAUCAUUCGCGUUUCGGAUAUCGGCGAUGAGCAGUCGCGUGACGGACGGCGUUCGCGUCGUCCGCUCCUUGUUGUUUUCCGAACCGGUAACGAACGCGUGCACUUUUCCCCUGGUAGGACGUCGCGAUCCGUUGGGUGUCGGUCUACGGCUCGCGGUGGAGUCCGUGCGCGAUCGUCUCGGCGAUUCGCGCUCGAACCCGCGAUGUUCCGGCCGACUCGCUCGACGGUAUACAGAUGGCGCGAGGCCGCUACGCUAAUUAGCGUCCGACCCGCGGCAAGCGCGUUCGAUGCUAAGACGGCGAUCGAGAUCUAGCGCCCGUCGGACAGACCUCGUUCGAGACGCUGAUCUGCGACGCUAUAGCUUGGGAUACUUUCAGGACCCGUCUGGACACGGCCCCCAGGGGGUUAUAA